rnacentral:misc_RNA from 1 species
AACGCACGAGACCUGCGGACCUGCGGAGGGAUCAUUAACGAUUUCGGUGUAAAAAACCGUUUUCUACCUAUGUCUACGCGUACCACUUGUUUCCUCGGGGGGCUUGCCCCCCGCUAGGACCCUUUAUCAAACCUUUUUGUAAUAGCAGUCAGCGUCUGAUACUACGUUAAUUAUUAAAACUUUUAGCAACGGAUCUCU